rnacentral:rRNA from 1 species
UACGUAGGGGGCAAGCGUUGUCCGGAUUUAUUGGGCGUAAAGAGCGUGUAGGCGGCCUGGUAGGUCAGCUGUGAAAACUCGAGGCUCAACCUCGAGAGGUCAUCGGAAACCAUCUGGCUAGAGUCCGGAAGAGGAGAGUGGAAUUCCCGGUGUAGCGGUGAAAUGCGCAGAUAUCGGGAAGAACACCUAUGGCGAAGGCAGCUCUGGGACGGUACUGACGCUGAGACGCGAAAGCGUGGGGAGCGAACAGG